AUACUAUGGGUUAAAAAAAUUAUUACCGAAACGAGUUUUAUGGAAUCAGUCAUAGCAUUUUCUUUCUCAAGAUAAGUUAUAGUUUACUCUUGUGUGAAAAAUUAAGAUAUAGAAUAGUAGUCUUUAAAACCCUAUUUUCAUUGUUUUUCAUUUCAGAGAGUAUAUUAAAAUUUUGAUUCCGUUGCAAAAUUAUAAGAAAAAACAUUGACUGCCUUAAGCUAGACACUCCCAGGAAAUACUGUUAUUUUUUUUUUCCAGAUAAACAUGCUUUAUUGUUUAAGAGUCUUGUUUAUUGAAUCUGUGAUCAUGUCUCGUAAUUGUGAUAUCAUGUUUUGUCGAAUUCAUUAAUCAUGAAUGUUGAUUGUGAUAUAGUAUUUUUUUGUCUCAUUGUAAAUGAUUAAAUCAUCUCUAUUUUAA